CUCGUAAAUUACAUUGUAAUUUGAUGUGCACAAAUCUCAUCUGUGAAUGAUUUUUUGUUAUUUCAUCAAAAACAUCAGUCAAAAUUAUUAAAUUCAUUUGUUUUGAUAAUUUUUUAAUUAUUUUUGAGGUCAAAAAGGCGAAGUCUAAGUCACAAAGGAUGAAAGAAUACAGAGAAAGGAAAAGGCAUCUCUAGGAGAGCACCGGUUGAUACAAGAAAGUAAUAGAACCAGAGAAUAUUAUAAACCAACAAGUCAACUUAACAGUAAAGAGAAGAAGUUGACACCAGAUGUCCAUCAAACUGAGAUUGAAAUACAAAACAAUGAAGUACAAAAAAAAUAUAUCAACAGAAAGGGAAAUAUCUUUAAUCAAAUAAGGAUAGUGUCUUAUGUAGUAGCAAAAUAUGACAACAUCGUUUUGAAUGGGUAAAGUGUUAGAAAUAAUUGCACCUGAAAUGAAUAUAUAUUUCAUGCAUCGAGGGAAACUGGAAGUACAUUAAUUAUAGAUGGCCUAGCACAGAGGAUACUGUCUGGAUAGAUUCCACAAAGAUACUUUGCAGAGUUAAUGACCCUACUACGACAAGGAGAUCUAGGAGAGUUUUUGUCUUUCAAAUUAUUCAAAAAUUCAAGAUAUUGCUGAAUC
rnacentral:lncRNA from 1 species